rnacentral:rRNA from 1 species
GAUCGAGUUUGAUCCUGGCUCAGAUUGAACGCUGGCGGUAUGCCUUACACAUGCAAGUCGAACGGUAGAGGGGCAACCCUUGAGAGUGGCGAACGGGUGAGUAAUACAUCGGAACGCGCCCAGUCGUGGGGGAUAACGUAGCGAAAGCUACGCUAAUACCGCAUACGACCCGAGGGUGAAAGCGGGGACUCGCAAGAGCCUCGCGCGAUUGGAGCGGCCGAUGGCAGAUUAGGUAGUUGGCGAGGUAACGGCUCACCAAGGCUAAGACGGGUAACUGGUCUGAGAGGAUGAUCAGUCACACUGGAACUGAGACAGGUCCAGACACCUACGGGUGGCAGCAGUUUCGAAUCGUUCACAAUCGGGGGCAACCCUGAUGGCGCGAGGGAGCGAUAC